UUGUGAAAAUGAAGACGUGGAAGUCAGAGGGCAUCCCUGAGAAAGGAUGCUCUGAGAAAGGGAAGAAAAGGAGAAUCGGGAACACAGAUUGCUGGAUGAAGUGGACCGAAGGCCACUGCUUUAUAGAAACCCAAGGGAAUGGUAAGAAUCUACCAGAUUCCAGAAGAUGAGUUGAGAGUAAAAUGAUGUAUCAAGGUCUAAAUUGACAGACUAAUUUAGCUAUUACUCAGUUAUUUAUCAAACAGCAGCCUCAGUGAUUCCAUGACUGUAUAUUUUUAUGUCUAGUAAACACGUAAAGGCAGCUGUGAAUAAAGUCUGCUGUCAACUGGGUGAAGUCUUGGCUUUGGAAAGGAACGCCUAUUCAUCUCUAUUUUAUAACAUCAGCUGACUAUUUUAGGUGUUUUUGAAGGAGCAUCAGCGGAUUGGUCAUGGUUUGUGGGAUCAUCAGGCACAAACAAGAAGUCACUAGAAGUAUUGGGAUAUUUCUGGGGCAGCCAUAUGCCACUAACUCACUGCUAUCACUGUGACAUCCCCGUGUUUCAUAUGGUAGCACAGCAUUUGUAUGAUGCCAUAGGAGUGGAUUUGGGGUGGGAAAUAAGGAGAGGGUCUGCUAUGAAGAACUGGAUAAUAAUAAUAAUAAUAUACAACUAGUAUAUAUGAGAAGUGAAUAUAGUUUUACAGAUUCAUUAUGCAUCUCCCAUAACCUGUAAGGCUCUAAUGACCUUCUGAAAAUCUCAGUACCCAUCUUAAAUCCAACUAACAACACUUGCAUCCUAUCACCAUCAGAUCCUGUGUUUUUCAAAAGUUUGUCACAUACCAUCAAAGCACAGUCCUUUCUCCUAAUAUCAUCAGUAUUGGCAUCAUUUGCGUUUCAUAACCUAUCACUAAGCUAUAUUAUGCAUAAUAGACAUUUAUAUUCACUUGACAAUUCAGUUUCUGGCAAAAGAGUCAUGUAUGGAAUAGCUUCAGGAUGGUGUUCAUUGGGUCCAUCGUUUAAAUAAACACGAUCUUAUUGCACAUAGUCUAUAAUUUGUGUUUUACAUUAUAAUUUGGGCUAUCUCAUCAUAUUAUCACACAUUCCUGGAAAAUUAGUAUAGUCAUUAUAGUUUUUAGGUUACUAGUAGAUUCACUGAUUUUUCUUGUUCUACAUUCCUAAUUUCAGUAAUAGAGCCACUGAUUUUCUCAAGUUAUACAUUCCUAAUUUCAGAGAACAGUUUUUAUUUUCUGGUUGAAGCAAAAACAGAGCAGAUACCACUGUUAAUUUUUCCAGGUAAAUCUCUCUCUCUCUCUCUCUCUCUCUCUCUCUCUCUCACUCGCUCGCUCACUCGCUCGCUCAGUAAUUUGAGUGUUUCCUAAAGUACACAUUACAAGCUUUACAAGUCAUUAGCAUUAAAAGAAUGCUUUCAACAAAAUUGUUAAGAAUAUUGUAUAAAAGUAUUUACUGGGUAUGUUUACGAUGUAUACAUGAAGAAUAAAUGAAUUGUAUGUGGACUUGAGUAGUGUCCUCAAGACAGCCUAAGUAUGUAUGUAAAUAUGCCAAAAUU
rnacentral:lncRNA from 1 species